rnacentral:rRNA from 1 species
UAAAAAAAGGUAAGCUACUAAGAGCGAAUGGUGGAUGCCUUGACUGGUAAAGGCGAUGAAGGACGUACUAGACUGCGAUAAGCUACGGGGAGCUGUCAAGAAGCUUUGAUCCGUAGAUUUCCGAAUGGGGCAACCCAAUGUAUAGAGAUAUACAUUACCUAUAUAGGAGCGAACGAGGGGAAUUGAAACAUCUUAGUACCCUCAGGAAAAGAAAUCAAUAGAGAUUGCGUCAGUAGCGGCGAGCGAAAGCGCAAGAGGGCAAACCCAGUGCUUGCACUGGGGGUUGUAGGACUGCAAUGUGCAAGAGGUAAGUUUAGCAGAACAUUCUGGAAAGUAUAACCAUAGAGGGUGAUAGUCCCGUAUGCGAAAAACAAACCUUAGCUAGCAGUAUCCUGAGUAGGGCGGGACACGAGGAAUCCUGUCUGAAUCCGGGUCGACCACGAUCCAACCCUAAAUACUAAUACCAGAUCGAUAGUGCACAAGUACCGUGAGGGAAAGGUGAAAAGAACUGAGGUGAUCAGAGUGAAAUAGAACCUGAAACCAUUUGCUUACAAUCAUUCAGAGCCCUAUGUAGCAAUACAGGGUGAUGGACUGCCUUUUGCAUAAUGAGCCUGCGAGUUGUGGUGUCUGGCAAGGUUAAGCAAACGCGAAGCCGUAGCGAAAGCGAGUCUGAAUAGGGCGCUUAGUCAGAUGCUGCAGACCCGAAACGAAGUGAUCUAUCCAUGAGCAAGUUGAAGCUAGUGUAAGAACUAGUGGAGGACUGAACCCAUAGGCGUUGAAAAGCCCCGGGAUGACUUGUGGAUAGGGGUGAAAGGCCAAUCAAACUUCGUGAUAGCUGGUUCUCUCCGAAAUAUAUUUAGGUAUAGCGUUGUGUCGUAAUAUAAGGGGGUAGAGCACUGAAUGGGCUAGGGCAUACACCAAUGUACCAAACCCUAUCAAACUCCGAAUACCUUAUAUGUAAUCACAGCAGUCAGGCGGCGAGUGAUAAAAUCCGUCGUCAAGAGGGAAACAACCCAGACUACCAGCUAAGGUCCCUAAAUCUUACUUAAGUGGAAAACGAUGUGAAGUUACUUAAACAACCAGGAGGUUGGCUUAGAAGCAGCCAUCCUUUAAAGAAAGCGUAAUAGCUCACUGGUCUAGUGAUUUUGCGCGGAAAAUAUAACGGGGCUAAAGUAAGUACCGAAGCUGUAGACUUGCACACAACUUAGAUUAUUUAAGUUUAGAAUAUGAGAAACUAAGUUAUAUGUUUAGUUAUAUUUUUACUGAUUUUUAUAGAGUAAAGAUAGAAAUAAAACUUAGUAAAAUCAGUAAAAAUAUUCUUAGACUAAAGUUAAGUAGUUUAAGUUGUGUGCAAGUGGUAGGAGAGCGUUCUAUUUGCGUCGAAGGUAUACCGGUAAGGAGUGCUGGAGCGAAUAGAAGUGAGCAUGCAGGCAUGAGUAGCGAUAAUUAAUGUGAGAAUCAUUAACGCCGUAAACCCAAGGUUUCCUACGCGAUGCUCGUCAUCGUAGGGUUAGUCGGGUCCUAAGUCGAGUCCGAAAGGGGUAGACGAUGGCAAAUUGGUUAAUAUUCCAAUACCAACAUUAGUGUGCGAUGGAAGGACGCUUAGGGCUAAGGGGGCUAGCGGAUGGAAGUGCUAGUCUAAGGUCGUAGGAGGUUAUACAGGCAAAUCCGUAUAACAAUACUCCGAGAACUGAAAGGCUUUUUGAAGUCUUCGGAUGGAUAGAAGAACCCCUGAUGCCGUCGAGCCAAGAAAAGUUUCUAAGUUUAGCUAAUGUUGCCCGUACCGUAAACCGACACAGGUGGGUGGGAUGAGUAUUCUAAGGCGCGUGGAAGAACUCUCUUUAAGGAACUCUGCAAAAUAGCACCGUAUCUUCGGUAUAAGGUGUGGUUAGCUUUGUAUUAGGAUUUACUCCGAAAGCAAGGAAACUUACAACAAAGAGUCCCUCCCGACUGUUUACCAAAAACACAGCACUCUGCUAACUCGUAAGAGGAUGUAUAGGGUGUGACGCCUGCCCGGUGCUCGAAGGUUAAUUGAUGGGGUUAGCAUUAGCGAAGCUCUUGAUCGAAGCCCGAGUAAACGGCGGCCGUAACUAUAACGGUCCUAAGGUAGCGAAAUUCCUUGUCGGUUAAAUACCGACCUGCAUGAAUGGCGUAACGAGAUGGG